UAAGGUAUAGUGAUUAAUUGGAGUUCUAGUUCAUUUACUUUGAGAAAAUUAGAGUGUUUAAAGCAAGCCUCUUGGGGCACUGAAUACAUUAGCAUGGGAUAAUAAAAUAGGAUCUUCACAAUAUAUUUUAUUGGUUUAAAUUGCGUAUGAAGAUAAUGAUUAAUAGGGACAGUUGGGGGUAUUCAUAUUGGGUGGUUAGCGGUGAAAUGCUCGGAUCCAUUCAAGAUGAACUAAAGCGAAAGCAUUUACCAAGGAUGUUUUCAUUAAUCAAGAACGAAAGUUAAGGGGAUCGAAGACGAUUAGAUACCGUCGUAGUCUUAACUAUAAACUAUGCCGACCAGGGAUAUGAGUUGUUAGGAUUAUAUGAAAGUAUAAUCAAUUUCUUCUUAUGAACCUUGUGAGAAAUCAUAAGUUUUUGGGUUCUGGGGGGGAGUAUGGUCGCAAGGCUGAAACUUAAAGGAAUUGACGGAGGGGC
rnacentral:rRNA from 1 species